CUGACCAGCGGCGGACGGGUGAGUAAUGCAUAGGAAACUGCCCAGUAUUGGGGGAUAGCCCGGGGAAACCCGGAUUAAUACCGCAUACGUCCUUCGGGAGAAAGCAGGGGAUCUUCGGACCUUGCGCUAUUGGAUGUGCCUAUGUCGGAUUAACUAGUUGGUGGGGUAAAGGCCUACCAAGGCGACCAUCCGUAGCUGGUCUGAGAGGAUGAUCAGCCACAUCGGGACUGACACACGCCCCGAACUCCUACGGGAGGCAGCAGUGGGGAAUAUUGGACAAUGGGGGCAACCCUGAUCCAGCCAUGCCGGGUGUGUGAAGAAGGCUUUCCGGUUGUAAAGCACUUUCCUUGAGGAGGAAAACCUUAACAUUAAUACUCUUGAGGCUUGACGUUACUCACAGAAGAAGCACCGGCUAACUCCGUGCCACCGCCCGCGGUAAUACGGAGGGGGCAUGCGUUAAUCGGAAUUAUUGGGCGUAAGGCGCGCGUAGGGGGUUUGAUAACCGAAAUGUGAAUGCCCCGGGCUUAUCCUGGGAACGGCAUUUCGAACUGUCAUGCUAGAGUAUG
rnacentral:rRNA from 1 species